UUGAGCCCGGUACGGUGAAAGUCGUACGCCGGGUUCUGAGGGGACGGUGGCGCAGUAAUGCGCCGCUGUUACCCGAU
rfam:Prosthecochloris sp. CIB 2401, complete genome.